UCAUUUCAUGAAAUCUUGGACCCGUCAGCGAUGUUUCUCAGAGCCCAUGGUUUCUUCCGUGUAAACAUGGCGCAGAUGAUAUCGAUGACUGCAGCGGUAAUAACUUACACUGUUAUCCUUAUACAAACAAGUCAAAGUGUCAAGGGACUGCAUCACCAGGCUCUGCACGUUCCAGGCAGGGAUAAUAAAAGCCAUAUGCACGAGUG